rnacentral:rRNA from 1 species
UACGGAGGGGGCGAGCGUUAUUCGGAAUUAUUGGGCGUAAAGGGUGCGUAGGCGGAAUGAUAAGUCAGUGGUGAAAUCCUGCAGCUUAACUGCAGAACUGCCAUUGAUACUGUCAAUCUUGAGUAUAUUUGAUGUGGGCGGAAUGUGUCAUGUAGCGGUGAAAUGCUUAGAUAUGACACAGAACACCGAUUGCGAAGGCAGCUCACAAAACUAUAACUGACGCUGAGGCACGAAAGCGUGGGUAUCAAACAGG